UGGGUCUACGCAAGGCCCUGAGUGGCCCC
rnacentral:piRNA from 1 species